rnacentral:rRNA from 1 species
AUGGGCGCAAGCCUGACCCAGCCAUGCCGCGUGCAGGAAGACGGCCUUAUGGGUUGUAAACUGCUUUUGUAUAGGAUAAAUAUCCUGGACUAGAUUCGGGUUUGAUAGUACUAUACGAAUAAGCAUCGGCUAACUCCGUGCCAGCAGCCGCGGUAAUACGGAGGAUGCAAGCGUUAUCCGGAUUUAUUGGGUUUAAAGGGUGCGCAGGCGGGUCAAUAAGUCAGUGGUGAAAUCCUACAGCUUAACUGUAGAACUGCCAUUGAUACUGUUGGUCUAGAAUUUAGUUGAAGUGGCUGGAAUGUGUCAUGUAGCGGUGAAAUGCAUAGAGAUGACACAGAACACCGAUAGCGAAGGCAUGUCACUAAGCUAAUAUUGACGCUCAUGCACGAAAGCGUGGGGAUCAAACAGGAUUAGAUACCCUGGUAGUCCACGCCGUAAACGAUGAUAACUAGCUGUUGGCGAUACACAGUCAGUGGCUAAGCGAAAGCGAUAAGUUAUCCACCUGGGGAGUACGACCGCAAGGUUGAAACUCAAAGGAAUUGACGGGGGCCCGCACAAGCGGAGGAGCAUGUGGUUUAAUUCGAUGAUACGCGAGGAACCUUACCUGGGCUCGAACGUGUAAUGAUUUAUGGAGAAAUCUGUAUCCUACGGGGCAUAUACGAGGUGCUGCAUGGUGUCGUCAGCUCGUGCCGUGAGGUGUAGGUAAAGUCCUGCAACGAGCGCAACCCCUAUCUU